rnacentral:rRNA from 1 species
CACAAAACACAGUCUCAGUUCAGAUUGUAGGCUGAAACUCGCCUAUAUGAAGUCGGAAUUGCUAGUAAUCGCGGAUCAGCAUGCCGCGGUGAAUACGUUCCCGGGCCUUGUACACACCGCCCGUCACACCAUGAGAGUCGAUAACACCCGAAGCCUGUAGUCUAACAGCAAUGAGGACGCAGUCGAAGGUGGGAUUGAUAAUUAGGGUGAAGUCGUAACAAGGUACC